rnacentral:misc_RNA from 1 species
AGAAUAAGGAUCUAAAGCAACAUCAGUGUAAAUAACGAUGUCAGGAUAUUUGUCCUUAAGCAGGCGUAUUGCUCGAGGAACUAGUCCAUUGUCAUUGUACGCUUCAUCUCCUGUGGGUGUCUUCAAUGCAUCAGGAAUUUUGGGGAAAAGAACAACACUAUUAACACCAACAUCCCGAGCCUGGUAGACCUCAUCAAGUAGGCCAUGCCUCCAACCCAGUCUGAAACAUCCCGGCAUGGCUCCA